AGGAGUGGAGCCUGCGGCUUAAUUUGACUCAACACGGGAAACCUCACCAGGCCCGGACACCGGAAGGAUUGACAGAUUGAGAGCUCUUUCUUGAUUCGGUGGGUGGUGGUGCAUGGCCGUUCUUAGUUGGUGGAGCGAUUUGUCUGGUUAAUUCCGAUAACGAACGAGACUCUAGCCUGCUAACUAGGCGUAUUUUGACAUCCUAAAGGCCCGCCGGCUUGGGGUUCGCUCCUCGUCGUGCGCGGUUUUUACUGUCGGCGUACAAACAAUUCUUCUUAGAGGGACAGGCGGCUUCUAGCCGCACGAGAUUGAGCAAUAACAGGUCUGUGAUGCCCUUAGAUGUUCUGGGCCG
rnacentral:rRNA from 1 species